CUACGGGAUGCACCAGUGGGGAAUAUUGGACAAUGGGGGAAACCCUGAUCCAGCAAUGCCGCGUGUGUGAAGAAGGCCUGCGGGUUGUAAAGCACUUUCGGUUGGGAGGACUGCUUCUAGCACUAAUAUUGUUGGAAGUUGACGUUACCUUCAGAAGAGGCACCGGCUAACUCCGUGCCAGCAGCCGCGGUAAUACGGAGGGUGCAAGCGUUAAUCGGAAUUACUGGGCGUAAAGCGCGCGUAGGCGGCUAGAUCAGUCGGGUGUGAAAGCCCCGGGCUUAACCUGGGAACUGCAUCCGAUACUGUCUAGCUUGAGUACAGGAGAGGAGAGUGGAAUUCCACAUGUAGCGGUGAAAUGCGUAGAUAUGUGGAGGAACACCAAUGGCGAAGGCAGCUCUCUGGCCUGAUACUGACGCGGAGGUGCGAAAGCGUGGGGAGCAAACAGGAUUAGAUACCCGGGUAGUC
rnacentral:rRNA from 1 species